AACAAUUAAGAUAAUUAUAUAUAAUAAGCUUGAUAAAUAACCAUUUAAAUUUUGAACAAAAAGGGGAAGUUGAGAUACAGAGAAGCAGAAAUUCAUUAAUAAUAUAAAAAGACAUCGAUCGCUUCUAACAAAAUUCUUUGUUAAUUAAAUAAAUAAAUUCAAAGAUGUCCAAGUUUAUUAUUUUACUGUUGGUAACUAUGUUCGCUGUCAAUAUUUACGCUGAUGAUGAAAAGACGUGUUCUGAUCCUGGCGAUGAUUGUGACAAAAAUGAGGAGUGUUGCAGUGGGGUGUGUGAUGUGUAUUAUGGCAUAAAGCAAUGUUACCCAACACUAGAAGAAAUGGAUCAAUAUACUAAAUAAAUCAAUUCAUUCAAUGAACAAUUACGAAAUUUAUGAAAUUAUUUUUUCCUUAAAUUUAAUAUUUUAUUUAUUUGUCGGGCUACAAAAAAAUUUUUUUUCUGGUUUUAAUUGCUGUCAUAUUUAAAUUUCAUAUAAUGGGCGAAUUUUUAAUUAAAAAAAAAUUUUCUCACAUCAGAUAUGAAAUUUUUUUUAUUUCAUAGCCCCAUC